rnacentral:rRNA from 1 species
UGCAGUCGAACGGCAGCAUAGAGGGCUUGCUCUCUGAUGGCGAGUGGCGAACGGGUGAGUAAUAUGUCGGAACGUGCCUAGUAAUGGGGAACAACUAAUCGAAAGGUUAGCUAAUACCGCAUACGACCUACGGGUGAAAGCAGGGGAUCUUCGGACCUUGCGUUAUUAGAGCGGCCGAUAUCUGAUUAGGUAGUUGGUGGGGUAAAGGCCUACCAAGCCGACGAUCAGUAGCUGGUCUGAGAGGACGAUCAGCCACACUGGAACUGAGACACGGUCCAGACUCCUACGGGAGGCAGCAGUGGGGAAUUUUGGACAAUGGGGGAAACCCUGAUCCAGCCAUUCCGCGUGAGUGAAGAAGGCCUUCGGGUUGUAAAGCUCUUUCGCAAGAGAAGAAAUCUUACUAUCUAAUAAAUAGUGAGGAUGACGGUAUCUUGACAAGAAGCACCGGCUAACUAUGUGCCAGCAGCCGCGGUAAUACAUAGGGUGCGAGCGUUAAUCGGAAUUACUGGGCGUAAAGGGUGCGCAGGCGGUCUUAUAAGUCAGAUGUGAAAUCCCCGAGCUCAACUUGGGAACUGCGUUUGAAACUAUAA